GAUGAACGCUAGCUACAGGCUUAACACAUGCAAGUCGAGGGGAAACGAUAUUGGAAGCUUGCUUCUGAUAGGCGUCGACCGGCGCACGGGUGAGUAACGCGUAUCCAACCUGCCCAUCACUUGGGGAUAACCUUGUGAAAGUAAGACUAAUACCCAAUGACGUCUCUAGAAGACAUCUGAAAGAGAUUAAAGAUUUAUCGGUGAUGGAUGGGGAUGCGUCUGAUUAGCUUGUUGGCGGGGUAACGGCCCACCAAGGCGACGAUCAGUAGGGGUUCUGAGAGGAAGGUCCCCCACAUUGGAACUGAGACACGGGUCCAAACUCCUACGGGAGGCAGCAGUGAGGAAUAUUGGGUCAAUGGACGAGAGUCUGAACCAGCCAAGUAGCGUGCAGGAUGACGGCCCUAUGGGUUGUAAACUGCUUUUAUAAGGGAUAAAGUGAGUCUCGUGAGACUUUUUGCAUGUACCUUAUGAAUAAGGACCGGCUAAUUCCGUGCCAG
rnacentral:rRNA from 1 species